AGAGUUUGAUCCUGGCUCAGGAUGAACGCCGGCGGUGUGCCUAAUACAUGCAAGUCGUACGCACUGGCCCAACUGAUUGAUGGUGCUUGCACCUGAUUGACGAUGGAUCACCAGUGAGUGGCGGACGGGUGAGUAACACGUAGGUAACCUGCCUCGGAGCGGGGGAUAACAUUUGGAAACAGAUGCUAAUACCGCAUAACAACAAAAGCCACAUGGCUUUUGUUUGAAAGAUGGCUUUGGCUAUCACUCUGGGAUGGACCUGCGGUGCAUUAGCUAGUUGGUAAGGUAACGGCUUACCAAGGCAAUGAUGCAUAGCCGAGUUGAGAGACUGAUCGGCCACAUUGGGACUGAGACACGGCCCAAACUCCUACGGGAGGCAGCAGUAGGGAAUCUUCCACAAUGGACGAAAGUCUGAUGGAGCAACGCCGCGUGAGUGAAGAAGGGUUUCGGCUCGUAAAGCUCUGUUGGUAGUGAAGAAAGAUAGAGGUAGUAACUGGCCUUUAUUUGACGGUAAUUACUUAGAAAGUCACGGCUAACUACGUGCCAGCAGCCGCGGUAAUACGUAGGUGGCAAGCGUUGUCCGGAUUUAUUGGGCGUAAAGCGAGUGCAGGCGGUUCAAUAAGUCUGAUGUGAAAGCCUUCGGCUCAACCGGAGAAUUGCAUCAGAAACUGUUGAACUUGAGUGCAGAAGAGGAGAGUGGAACUCCAUGUGUAGCGGUGGAAUGCGUAGAUAUAUGGAAGAACACCAGUGGCGAAGGCGGCUCUCUGGUCUGCAACUGACGCUGAGGCUCGAAAGCAUGGGUAGCGAACAGGACUAGAUACCCUGGUAGUCCAUGCCGUAAACGAUGAGUGCUAAGUGUUGGGAGGUUUUCGCCUCUCAGUGCUGCAGCUAACGCAUUAAGCACUCCGCCUGGG
rnacentral:rRNA from 1 species